AUUGAACGCUGGCGGCAGGCCUAACACAUGCAAGUCGAACGGUAACAGAAAGCAGCUUGCUGCUUUGCUGACGAGUGGCGGACGGGUGAGUAAUGUCUGGGAAACUGCCUGAUGGAGGGGGAUAACUACUGGAUACGGUAGCUAAUACCGCAUAACGUCGCAAGACCAAAGAGGGGGACCUUCGGGCCUCUUGCCAUCGGAUGUGCCCAGAUGGGAUUAGCUAGUAGGUGGGGUAACGGCUCACCUAGGCGACGAUCCCUAGCUGGUCUGAGAGGAUGACCAGCCACACUGGAACUGAGACACGGUCCAGACUCCUACGGGAGGCAGCAGUGGGGAAUAUUGCACAAUGGGCGCAAGCCUGAUGCAGCCAUGCCGCGUGUAUGAAGAAGGCCUUCGGGUUGUAAAGUACUUUCAGCGGGGAGGAAGGGAGUAAAGUUAAUACCUUUGCUCAUUGACGUUACCCGCAGAAGAAGCACCGGCUAACUCCGUG
rnacentral:rRNA from 1 species